UUCCGCCGCCUGAUAUCGCCCGACGGCAAGUUUUGUCGACUGAUGUCCUCCGACCGCAUGUCCUACGGCUGCGUGUCCUCCUCACUUUCUUCCAGCACUAACUAGGAUUUGGAUGCAGUGUUAGGAGUGCAAGUUCUCGCACCCUAAUCAGGAUAUUCUCCUCAAGCAUUACCGACUUUGCCACUACCGGGGACGCUUCUGGCCACUGCCGUGCCUGUACACUGACUGCUGCUGCACUUUCAAAACAAGCGAUAUAUGCUGAGUUUUUUUGAAUCACUCAAGUGGAUCUAAAGAAGACAUUCUUCACAUCUUUGGAUGCACACGCCUCAAACCUGAUAAAGCUUUACA